rnacentral:SRP_RNA from 1 species
GCCAGGUGUGGUGGCGCGCGCCUGUAAUCCUAGCUACUUGGGAGGCUGAGGCAGGAGAAUCGCUUGAACCCAGGAGGUGGAGGUUGCGGUGAGCCAAGAUCGUGCCACUGCACUCUAGCCUGGGCAACAGAGCAAGACUCCGUCUCAA